rnacentral:rRNA from 1 species
UACGAAGGGGGCUAGCGUUGUUCGGAAUCACUGGGCGUAAAGCGCACGUAGGCGGAUUGUUAAGUCGGGGGUUAAAUCCUGAGGCUCAACCUCAGAACUGCCUCCGAUACUGGCAAUCUCGAGUUCGGAAGAGGUUGGUGGAACAGCUAGUGUAGAGGUGAAAUUCGUAGAUAUUAGCUAGAACACCAGUGGCGAAGGCGGCGACCUGGGUAGAUACUGACGCUGAGGUGCGAAAGCGUGGGGAGCAAACAGG